GCCUUGGUAGCUCAAUUGGCUAGAGCGUGGGACUUUUAACACGGUUGUUACUUCUCAUUCAGGAGUUUGCCGAGUCACGUGAUCCCAAGGUUGCGGGUUCGACCCCCGCCUGAGGCG